rnacentral:rRNA from 1 species
UGUGCCUUCGGGAACCGUGAGACAGGUGCUGCAUGGCUGUCGUCAGCUCGUGUUGUGAAAUGUUGGGUUAAGUCCCGCAACGAGCGCAACCCUUAUCCUUUGUUGCCAGCGAUUAGGUCGGGAACUCAAAGGAGACUGCCAGUGAUAAACUGGAGGAAGGUGGGGAUGACGUCAAGUCAUCAUGGCCCUUACGACCAGGGCUACACACGUGCUACAAUGGCGCAUACAAAGAGAAGCGACCUCGCGAGAGCAAGCGGACCUCAUAAAGUGCGUCGUAGUCCGGAUUGGAGUCUGCAACUCGACUCCAUGAAGUCGGAAUCGCUAGUAAUCGUGGAUCAGAAUGCCACGGUGAAUACGUUCCCGGGCCUUGUACACACCGCCCGUCACACCAUGGGAGUGGGUUGCAAAAGAAGUAGGUAGCUUAACCUUCGGGAGGGCGCUUACCACUUUGUGAUUCAUGACUGGGGUGAAGUCGUAACAAGGUAACCGUAGGGGAACCUG